UAGGUUACAUCUCAAGGAGAAGGAUUGCCAGAUCAAAAGUCUUGCAGUUAACCAGGCGUGGUGGCAGAUACCUGUAAUCCCAGCUAUUCGGGAGGCUGAGGCAGGAGAAUCGCUUGUACCCGGGAGGCAGAGGUUGCAGUGAGCUGAGACCGCGCCAUUGACUCCUGCCUGAUGACAAGAGAGAAUCUACGUCUCAACAACAACAACACGCUUGGGCACUGUAUUAACUCCAUAAUCGCCUCUGUGCUCUUUCCCCUGUGGACAAUAACUACCAUUUCAUCCUGGACACCCAUUGUUUGCCUGGACCACACCUUGUUAUGAC
rnacentral:lncRNA from 10 species